rnacentral:misc_RNA from 1 species
GAUGAAGAACGCAGUGAAAUGCGAUAAGUAAUGUGAAUUGCAGAAUUCAGUGAAUCAUCGAAUCUUUGAACGCACAUUGCGCCCGCCAGUAUUCUGGCGGGCAUGCCUGUUCGAGCGUCAUUACAACCCUCAGGCCCCCGGGCCUGGCGUUGGGGAUCGGCGGAAGCCCCCUGCGGGCACAACGCCGUCCCCCAAAUACAGUGGCGGUCCCGCCGCAGCUUCCAUUGCGUAGUAGCUAACACCUCGCAACUGGAGAGCGGCGCGGCCACGCCGUAAAACACCCAACUUCUGAAUGUUGACCUCGAAGCAGGUAGGAAUACCCGCUGAACUUAAGCAUAUCAAUAAGCGGAGGA